rnacentral:rRNA from 1 species
GCAAGUCGAACGCUUCUUUCCUCCCGAGUGCUUGCACUCAAUUGGAAAGAGGAGUGGCGGACGGGUGAGUAACACGUGGGUAACCUACCCAUCAGAGGGGGAUAACACUUGGAAACAGGUGCUAAUACCGCAUAACAGUUUAUGCCGCAUGGCAUAAGAGUGAAAGGCGCUUUCGGGUGUCGCUGAUGGAUGGACCCGCGGUGCAUUAGCUAGUUGGUGAGGUAACGGCUCACCAAGGCCACGAUGCAUAGCCGACCUGAGAGGGUGAUCGGCCACACUGGGACUGAGACACGGCCCAGACUCCUACGGGAGGCAGCAGUAGGGAAUCUUCGGCAAUGGACGAAAGUCUGACCGAGCAACGCCGCGUGAGUGAAGAAGGUUUUCGGAUCGUAAAACUCUGUUGUUAGAGAAGAACAAGGACGUUAGUAACUGAACGUCCCCUGACGGUAUCUAACCAGAAAGCCACGGCUAACUACGUGCCAGCAGCCGCGGUAAUACGUAGGUGGCAAGCGUUGUCCGGAUUUAUUGGGCGUAAAGCGAGCGCAGGCGGUUUCUUAAGUCUGAUGUGAAAGCCCCCGGCUCAACCGGGGAGGGUCAUUGGAAACUGGGAGACUUGAGUGCAGAAGAGGAGAGUGGAANNCCAUGUGUAGCGGUGAAAUGCNUAGAUAUAUGGAGGAACACCAGUGGCGAAGGCGGCUCUCUGGUCUGUAACUGACGCUGANGCUCGAAAGCGUGGGGGAGCAAACAGGAUUUUAUACCC